rnacentral:lncRNA from 1 species
UAAAUCUGAUAUUUUCUAUUUUAUAAUAUUCUGUUUUGUUGUUUUGAAACGCCAGUUGUACUCAGCUGAUUUCAUGAACCUCCAGCAGGUCAUGACCAUAGUGUGAAAACACUGGUGUUGAAACCCUAACCAAGAGUGCACAGCCCAGUGUACAGCAGAAUGAGCCUCCUGUCACCAGCCCAGAGCUCUCAGACAGAAUUGAGUUCCUGUACAGUAGGACUUUCCACUCAUGUCUGUGGUCUAGGAGGAGAUUGGGUUGGGCAAACACCAGGCACGAUGGAGCAACCAUUAACCCUGGAGUUGUGAAGACAGGACCACAAGCUGAGAGAGGGCAGCAAUGGAAACCCAGCCAAACUAUUAAUGGAAGGCUGGGUCCCAUUCUUUAUUAUCCUUCUGUGGUCUCGUCACCAGCAGGGUGAGCCAAAGCCGAGGGCAAGAACACGCUGGGUGACCUUCCACACCCCAAAUGCAAGAUCAAGUGCUGUGGAGAAGGAGCUAUGGAAAACUAAGAAAAGAUUUUGAAAAGAUGCCUUCUAGCCCAUGUUUAAAUCUAGUUCACAUGGCAGAACCAGCAGCCAGGACUUCUAAGAAAAACAUGCCACUGUGUCUCGUGUUGCCCAGGCCCAUGGAAGAACUCGCUAGUGGAAACUGUCAACAUUGACUAGCUAUCAUGAGCCAGGACUGAUGGGAUGACGUGAGCAGAGGACACCAUUAUUUUGUGCUUCAUCAAAGUUGCAAGCUUAAUAAGUGACAAAGUGGGGUCCAAAACCCAAUUGCAGCUAGCCUUUUUAUUUAUACUGCUUCUCGGGUGAAGAGUCACUGACUGGUAAUCUCUGGAAAAACAAACAAGGUAAGUUUGGUCCAGCCACUGGUUUUUCCUUUUUUAAGCAGGUGUUCAGGGACAACUUGCUGCUUCCAUCCCUCCCUUCCUUGCUCCCACCAUGCUGGCAUUGUAGGGAGGUAGACCAGGCUCCCGUGGCUGGGUGAUGUGUCUGCCUAAUGCUGGUGCUCACUUAGCAGCCCAUUCUCUCUCCUAUCAACUCCAUUUUCCUCUAACUUUGCUGUUACCAGGAAUGAAGGCAAAUUUCAGCCUCUAUCCAUUUCUCUUUUUACUCAUUUUCUCCAUCUGUUCAGAUCUCAGGCAGACAAGAAGGAUGAUAUUAAAGACUCUAUGAUUGGGUGCAAUUGUCUGGAUUGCUGAAAUAUUUCAUGACACAAUAUAGAUCUGGAGUGACUGUAGCUUCAGUGGGGCCAGGUGGGUGGGCCUUACAUUUUAUAUGUGGAGUGUUUUGACCUUGGCCGUCAGCAAUACCUCAGAAGGGCCAGGUGGGCCUUAACAGCUGUGCCAUUGGCUUUUAACUGCUAGGGCCCCAGUAGGGGCUGCAGGUCUCAGGGUAAGUGGUAAUUUGACUUUGGUGGAUGACCACAGCCGUGAGGACCUUGUCCAUGGUGCAGCGACUAUCUUUACAUUCAAGUUGCACAUCUUUCACUGCAAAAUGGCCCAGGGGCCACAUGAAUGGCUUUUAGCAAAAAGAAACCAGGCACAUGAGAACCUCUGAAAGGGCUUGUGGCCAUUGUAGGUGACCUUAGCAGAUACAGUCCACAUGGGACCUGCAAGCAAAUGCCAGCCAUGCUGGCUGCAGCAAAGGCGUGGGCACUGAGUGGUCACAGGCAGCAGUAGGUGCACCUUGACCUUGAACAAUACAUGUGCAGGAGACAAAGGCCUCAGCGAGGGUAGAGGCCCUCCACAGGCGUAGCAGCUCCAGGGGCAGGCAUGGCUCUUCCUAAACAAGCAUGAUAGAAGCAAAGAUUGGACUAGUAGAGAUAAGGCCUUUCUGCACACAUGAGGGGAAGGCUCAUGUACUGCUAUUUGUCUGCAGAGUGGUUGGCUACUGUGUGCCCUCCGGGAAGAGAAAUGUUCAAGCUCAGGUGCAGGUCAAGGCCAGGUGUGCUCAUCCAGAGCUCUACAACUAGCUGGUUUCUCUGAAAUGAUUAAAGGGAGGAUAGAGGUUUAACUCACUACUGGGGAGAAAGAAAUGGCAGAGAUGCUACUCAUGUCUGGGACAUGCCAAGGCUGAGAAAUCACGGCUCAGGCAGAGACUUAGGCAUCAGUGGGCCCAAAGGUUCAUAGGGUGGGUAUAGAAACAGAAGGGUAGUGAUGUCCUGUGCAUCAUUCUCCAGUGAGAGCCAACAUGUGGACUGGUGACAUGUGUCUCCCUGCUAAGUCAUUUUAUAGCAGGAGAGUGCAAUCCACCACUGGGCCCCAGGACAGAAAAUUCCUGUUUGCAUGGGAGAAUCCCACUAGACAGAGCCCACCUCAGUUGAAUAUAGUGGGAGGAGGAACACUGGCCAAGAGGGAAAGUGAGAAUUCUGAGGUUUAGAAUUCUCCAAUGGAAAGGAAAGGCAGCCGACCCUUUCUGAGAAUGCAGACAAGAUGUCAAAAUAGGUCUUCCUCUCCAUGGUGGUAAGUGCACCUUGUGCAAAUUAAAUUGUCAAAGAAAGAUUUUCCCCAUUUGAAUUUAAGGUGCCACCUUUUGGGAUCCAGAUGACUGACAUGAAUGAACUGCAACCCAAUGGGGCAAAACCGGGAAGCUUUUCUCCACUGCCCUCUCCACAGAGUUGCUGUAGAGUCUUGGAUAUUAAGAGCUGGGCUUGGGAAACUUCAUUUUUCUGGGAUAACUAAGAGAAAGUGCCUUAGAGUUGGGGGUUGGAAUGUUUUUGGCAUUUUGUGGUGAGGAAAACAGUGUUAGCCUUCUCAGUCCUAUGUGUCCUACUAACUCUUUCAACUCUUUAAGUAGAGAGAGGCUCCUAAGUGAAUUGGCGUGGCACCAAGCCUUCCUCUCAGUCCUAAAGUAACCACACUCAUUUCAGCAGAAAAUGACCUAGGCUGUUGCUGCUCAAGGAAUCCCAAGCCAAGGCUGAGGGGCAAAUUAAAUCAGGGAAGAGAAUUCUGGCGCUUUCACCUAAGAAUUGUGAGAUUUGAACUUUGAACUUGAAAGGACCAACAAUCCCACGAUAUCAGUCCUUAAUUUCUUUGGGAUCCAACUUGCAAGGGGAUGUAAUCUUCAAAUUGUACCUUCUCAGUGGGACCUUGAUAAUAGGAGAGGUUUAUAUUCAAAUUUGGGGAGGCUCAAAUGUUGCCGUUUGCUCAGUGGAGUGACCUUGUGUGCUUGUUACCUUCCUGUCUUCCUGGGUCAUUCAUCUCCCUGUAGGGUCUGUGCUGGUUUGGCAACGCAGCUGGAGAUCUUUCAGAGCAGGAAGAGAGAAAUGAGUCAAGUUCAGCCUCGACAGAUGAAGCCUCCUUGCUGUUAACCCACCUCAGAGCCUUCUAGUGGCAAAAUCUAAACUGCACCCCAGUAGCCCCAGGGGCCCAGACAGGAGAAUGGGGUUGGUAUCAGGCAAGGAGCCUAUGAAUGUGGGACGGAUCAACCAGAUAGAUUGCUGAUCUGUUCACCUUCUUUCUGGGCACAGUGGCGUCACACACAGAAUUUUCAAGCCCACUGUGUUAGGAGCAUGCUAAUCUGGUUUAAGUCAGGACAAUGCUACUUCUCCUUUCUUACUUUUCCUUCUAGGUGAAUAAAGCAUCUUAGCAUCCCUCUCCUGGCUUCCUUCUGCUGCUUUCCUGAAUAUGCAUGGCAGUAUGCAUAGAACAAAACAUUCUCCCUGCUCCAAGAAGCAGGGUCUCCCUAGCCUGCCCUCAUGGACAGGUGAGCCUCAGUCCAGCAGAGCCUAUGGUUGGAGGCAAAAUGGGCCUCUUCCUGGAGUUCCGUUAGCAGGUCUAUCUGCCUCUCACUCUGAGCUCUGCCCUCUCCCUGAACCUGGUAACAAUAAGAGAUAUGUUGGCUUUGAACGAUUUGAUUUCUUGUCUCCUUUUUCCACUUGUUCUAAAUCAAAGUAGGGCAAAAUAUUCCUGUUUGUAGAGCAGAAACCUCAGAGACCUCAGCCCCAAUAUCUCUUCCUACCACAGUUUUCACAGACUAUUAGGAUCCCGGUGCAACAGAAGUGUUGAGAGAGCCCUUCUGCAAGGAACGAGAACCCAGCCAGGGCUCCACACUCCCGGAGAAGUUCUCUGUUCAGAACCACCCACUCUGUCAUCUGGGUCCUAUCAGUUCAUGCGGAUAGCUGCUGCCAUCACAAGGUGCCAGGCGCCAUGUUGGGCAUGUGGGUUACCUCAUUGAAUCUUCAAAUAGAUGCUGGUUUUGUCCCUCAGGAGAUGGAGGCUCCGAGAGGAUAGGAGACUUGUUCAAGAUUACUUGGCUCCUAAAGGAUGACAUUGGGCUUCAAUUUAAGUAGGAUUUCAAAGCUUGUGGCCUUGUUUCAUCAGAGGCGAGCAUCUCUACUUCCUCGGGACCAGGAUGGGUUGACCUGGGCUUCAUGUCUGAGUCUACCACUCAGUAGCUGAUUAACCCUGAGGAACACCCUGGACCUCUCCAAGGCUCAGACCUGUGAAAGGAAAGACCUUUCAACCCCCACCCUGGAGUGCACCAUAGGAUCAAAUGCAGCUGCGAAUAUUGUGCAAAAUUUUAAACACAAAAACUCCCCAUGAGACUGAGCUGAUAUCUCAUGGCUCUGGUGGCAAGCAAAAACACAAAGGGGAGAAGCCUCUUUUUUUCCCCCCUACUUCAGUUUUCUGUGUCAGUGCUUGUAAAAUCUUUGGUGUCAUGAACACCUCCUCCAAGUCUUUAGAAGUUCAACUUGCAUUAGGAUUUGACAAGGAAGUCCUUUGUUACUGUUUUCUUCUCUUUCAAGAUUAAAAGAAAAAUCUAAAUAUAGGACUGCCUUCUGCUUAGCAUAGUGCAUUUUCAGUAUAAGCAGACUGACUGCUCAGUCAGACUGAACAAAGCCCCGCGCCCCGAGCUGCCUAGCACCUGAGCCACUCUGCAGCCUGCCUCGUCCGCCUUUGAUGCCCACCUGUCAGUCCUGCUGCAUGGUGAAGAGGCCCCAAUACUGCCUUUCUAGGGCUUUGUCUUCUAUCAGCUGUUUUAUCUUUGCUUGGCUUCAAGCGUCUCUCUCUUUGUUCUCUGCCUUCUGUGUAUCUCUAACGUGGCAGUCUUUCAUUCCAGACCCCAACCUCCUCCCACAGCCUCCUGCACCAGCUUCUCAGGGCCCACAGGCAGCAUCUUGUGUGGGGACCCAAAGCGGCGGUUUGAGGCCACUGUGCAGGCUCAUCCAUCCCAGCUCUCACUAAGAGAACCCGAGCUGUUAAGGAGCAGGCUCUGCCUCCCCUCCCACCUCCAAACCUUUGCCAAGGCUGUUGCCCUAUCCUAGGCUGGAUUCCCCUUUGGGCUGCUCCAUGACUUGUCAAAAACAUAUCCUCAAAAGUUUAAGGGACUCUCAAAGCUAGCUUUUUCUCAAAGGUGUCCAGAGCGCUUCUAAACAGAAUCUUCUCCCCAUUGUGCUCCGCUGCAUUUGUUUCAUGAUGCUACAACCGCAUCCCUCUCUGCCAUGACUUUCUUUGUGUGAUAACCCAUGUCCUGGCAAAUAUGAAUUCCCAACAACAGAGACCACUCUAUUGGAAUUUAUACCUCCAGCCCCUUCCCUCUAGCCCCAGGUGUGGGUGCCUCGUACAAGGCAGAACUCAAUGAACAUUGUAGUGUG